rnacentral:miRNA from 1 species
AGAGGAGAUUUUUGCACUAGAGGU